UUUACCAUCACUAUUCACUAUUUUCUGUUUACCGAAGGAAACAAUCUAAAUACAUUAUUCCUGCUUUGUAAAACAAUUAUACAACACAAAUGAUACUUAAACCCUUGUGCAGCACCAUGUUUUCUUGAGAACAGGGCACAGUGGUGUAUACUAACCUGAGAAUGGUGCCCAGUGUUUUAUUCAGAUGUCAUGUGAGCCACUCUGCGUGGUUCUUGGGUCCUGUGCCACUCAAUUAAGGAAAAUCCUGGAUGCGCCCCUGAAAAAGCCCCACUCUUUUCUCAGACAGCGCAGACAGCAAGGAUUUUGGUCCUCCCCGCAAUCGCCGUUGUUUUGAAUUACAUUUAAGGUAAAGCCAUGUGUGUUUUCUUCGGUUACACGAUUUAAAAGGCUGAAGAAAAAGCUGCAUCCUUAAUUCAUUCUUAUGUGUGAAAGGUUUUAUUCCCACCCUGCCCCCCUCUCGCUCUCUGUCGCUGGUUAGUGGUUCAGCCAUUUUCAGCCCGCCUCCUCCUUUCUUUCUUUGCUAGACUCACAAGAGAAUCAUCGGUCCUGUUUUAUUCUAACAAUUUUGGGCUGUGGACUUCUUUCUCCCGGAAGUUGGAAUGUGUAAAUAUUAUGAUUAGUGGACAGCAAUGAUUAGCGGAUGGAUGGAGCUGCUUCCUUUUGUGGCAGUUUCUGCCACAACAUACUGUCCAUGUGACUCUGCGCUACUACGUGUCCUUCUCGUGACGUUGUCUCUUCUAUGUGCUGAUGUAGAAGGAGUAUACAAGCUUAAGGCAAGUCAAGUCGUCGACAGUCUCCGGCAGAAAAGGAGUCAUCAUGGGAAACUCCCGGCAGCUAUCCUAGCAUAACUAAGGGUGGAUUCCAGUGCCAGCUAAAUUAUAUGUCUGUCUCAGUAGAAUCCAAGGUGGAGCUGACAGUGGCGCCAUGUGGGUGGAAAAAUUGACGAUUCUAAGGGAUCAUGGCUGAUCCUUAAGGGCCAUAGACAACAGUAGUUUUACUUAGUUUUGUUUGAAAUAAUGAUUAACCUAUCACCAAAAUGUUUCCUUCAAAGGGUACUAAUAAACUUUUUUCCUUCCUAGCAUUAGUUUUAUUUGUCUGCAGCAACAUAGAGCAAAAUCCAGUCAGCCUCUGAACCCGCCUCCCCCCUUCUUUCCGUAUUUCAUGAUUUGAUUUGGUCCAGAUGGCAGCGCUCUCGGCUGAGCGAAGAGGAAAGAAGGUCCUGAUCCUGUACCUCAUUAAUUUGGAAGAUUAAGUCAGUAAAGUAAAAUGUUUUGACCUGAGUGAUCUGAUGUCUGGACGUCUGAACAGAAAGACACCCCUUGCACUUUACACCAUUUUGUUUAAGGUCUGUGCAGCCUGUCUGAGCUUAACUGGAGAGAAGAAGCAAAGAAGGGUUUAAAGUGGGAUGUAGCAGGCCCUAACCCAUUAGUGACCAUGGAUACCACGGCCUGCCCUGCACCAUGGCAACAUCCAUCACUGCAAACAUUACCACGACACUGCCAGCGACACAGUAUAGCCUGCAUUUACUGA